UACGUAGGGGGCUAGCGUUGUCCGGAAUCAUUGGGCGUAAAGCGCGUGUAGGCGGUCCGGUAAGUCCGCUGUGAAAGUCGGGGGCUCAACCCUCGGAUGCCGGUGGAUACUGUCGGGCUUGAGUACGGAAGAGGCGAGUGGAAUUCCUGGUGUAGCGGUGAAAUGCGCAGAUAUCAGGAGGAACACCAAUUGCGAAGGCAGCUCGCUGGGACGUUACUGACGCUGAGACGCGGAAGCGUGGGGAGCAAACAGG
rnacentral:rRNA from 1 species